UACGUAGGUGGCAAGCGUUGUCCGGAUUUAUUGGGUUUAAAGGGUGCGUAGGCGGCCUUAUAAGUCAGUGCUGAAAUAUCCCGGCUUAACCGGGAGGGUGGCAUUGAUACUGUAGGGCUUGAGUGUAGUCGAGGUAGGCGGAAUUGACGGUGUAGCGGUGAAAUGCUUAGAUAUCGUCAAGAACACCGAUAGUGUAGACAGCUUACUAGGCUACAACUGACGCUGAGGCACGAGAGUGUGGGGAUCAAACAGG
rnacentral:rRNA from 1 species